UAAAUUGAGGGUAAUUUGCUAUGUAACAAUAGAUAACUAAUACAGCAUUCAGAUUCAUUUUAAAGUAUCAAUGUGGACACGCACACACACUUUGCUGAUGAAACAAAAUAUAGGGCUCCAGUUUAUAACCCUGGGUUUCUCAAUGAAACCUGGAUCUACAGAAGCCAAAAGGUAUGGUUAAGGCAGCACUCGAAGGUCAUUUGGCAGCUCAGUUUCUGCUGGAAGGGAGGAGAUGAAAUCCAUUCAGAGCUCAAGCAGGAAGCUAUUUUAUCCACCAACAGAAACAGAAUAUAAUUUUCCUUACCACUGUAGAGUAACAACAAACCAUGGGACAGAACCUAGAGAAAUCUGACAGAAAUCCUGUUCUAUAAUACAAAGAGCACUCGGAUUAGAGUAGAAAGCCAGGUGGAACUUCAGUCUUAUCAAAAUAGAAAAGCAUUUCCCCGUCACUAAAAACUAAUAACAAGCAUUUCACAAAAAGUAAUGGAAGAAGCAACCUGUUAUGGUCUGAAUGUUUGUGUCCCCCAAGAAUUUAUAUGUUAAAUCCCUAACCCUCAAAGUGAUAGUAUUAAGAGGUGGGGGCUCUGGGAGAUGGUUAGGCUAUGAGGGCAGAGCCCUAAUAAAUGGGAUUAGUGCCCUCAUAAAGAGACCCAAGAGGAACCUCGCCCUUUCCAUCACGUGGAAGUGGGCCCUCUCCAGACACAGAAUCUGCCAGCACCAUGAUCUUGGACUUCCAGCCUCCAGAACUGUGAGAAGUAAAUAUUUGUUGUUUAUAGGCCGCCUAGUUUAUGGUAUGUUUUUUAUAGCAGUCCAAACAAACUAAGACACAACUCUUCUCAGAAAUCCAAGAAAUAACGUAGUCACUUGGGGUCUGAAACCAGAGAUUGAGAGGUCACUCUCCACCCAAUAGGAGAAGCAGAUCUUAGGGGGACAAGAGUACAUAUGAAACACAGCAGAGGAGUAGGAUAUGUCUUUGAAUGAAGAUGCCUGAGGGACUGAAUAAAGAACCUGGACAACUAAAGAAAAAAGACACCUAUGGAUCAGAAUUGAGACAAUUUCUUCAGUGAAAUUAUGCCAUUCAUUAGAAGGUGAUACUGUCAUCAAUGUGAGAGGCCCAGGACUCUGCAGGGCCUGAAGAAAUCCUGGGCAAUGAGUCUGAGGGAAGUCUCUCAGAGCAGCUACUCUGAGUCAUGCCGCAGCCUUUGUGGGGUAUGAAAGCAGCGUUCUCAUGGAUAAGGCUUAUUUGAGACGAAGUGGAGGCCUUGUUUUGUCCACUUACCGCAAUGUCCACUGUCCCCAACUGCAGCAUGCCAACAGCAAAUGUGUUUAGUGGAUAUGUGUUUUGUAGCUAACAAGAAACAGUAACAUUUAUUUUUCCGUGCCUAGUUGCUUAACAAACGAUAUUCUAAAAGGGCACCACGUUUUAUGUGUGUUUACAUGAAAACAAAUCAAAUCAUGAACUGGUGGUCAGGGAGUUCUGGAAACAAUAAACAAGUUGACCAUGCAACUGACAGCUCCCCUCUGAAAUGCAGACACAGCUAAGUCCAGCAUGACUCGCUGAAGGCACAUGCAAAGAACAGGCGGGGCAGUUUGGUGAUGAGGUCAGGCACAAUAUGGCAACUGAGCCAUAACAAUCCAGUGCGUGCAGCAGCUCAGCAGUUGUCCAACCACAAGGAGGCGCCAAAGGGCUGACUGCCAGUUCUACGCGGGACGCCGACUAUUUGUCCCAGCGGUGGAGAGUAUCAAAGCAGGCAACAGGCAACAAGGAAAAUUACAAGCGGGUUGAAAACCUCAUUCAAGAAUUCCCUAGAAAGAACUUGAAAAGACUCAACUACAGUGGCAGCUGUCACACUGAUACCUACUUGGUAGGGCUGCAGGUGUGCAAGGCCUUCAAGUGUGGCUUCCAGGUUGCAAUGGAAACAGAUUUCUCAUCAGCUGCAUAACUACGCCAAACACACUGCAUGUGGCAUAGAUGGGGACAUGAAAAAGAAAAAAGAGAGCAGGAUUUAGAAUAAAAUAAAAAGAGAAAUGAUUAAGUUACUAAAAAAAAAAAAAAAAA
rnacentral:lncRNA from 1 species